rnacentral:lncRNA from 1 species
ACUUGUUUAGGCUUUGGAACUAGUCCAAGACCAUGCACAUGCCCAGGCUUGUCAUCUCCAAGUAUUUGGUUCAAUGCAUCUCCUUUCCAAGCAGUCCUUCCUUCACUAGUGUCUGCUAAAGCUGGUUGUUCAACUACAAGUUUCUUCAAAUUAUCCUAAACACAGGAACAAUAUGAAUAGAACAUAUGAAAAAAAGUUGAAACUUAAAUUAUCUAUAGUUUAGAUUUGAUAGUAUACCACAUGCCCAUUUAGAUUCUUGCCAGUUUUGCGCUUGUGUGUUUGGAUGUACACAAUAGCUCUGUGAGGAUUCUU